AGAGUUUGAUCAUGGCUCAGAUUGAACGCUGGCGGCAGGCCUAACACAUGCAAGUCGAACGGUAACAGGAAACAGCUUGCUGUUUCGCUGACGAGUGGCGGACGGGUGAGUAAUGUCUGGGAAACUGCCUGAUGGAGGGGGAUAACUACUGGAAACGGUAGCUAAUACCGCAUAACGUCGCAAGACCAAAGAGGGGGACCUUCGGGCCUCUUGCCAUCAGAUGUGCCCAGAUGGGAUUAGCUAGUAGGUGGGGUAACGGCUCACCUAGGCGACGAUCCCUAGCUGGUCUGAGAGGAUGACCAGCCACACUGGAACUGAGACACGGUCCAGACUCCUACGGGAGGCAGCAGUGGGGAAUAUUGCACAAUGGGCGCAAGCCUGAUGCAGCCAUGCCGCGUGUAUGAAGAAGGCCUUCGGGUUGUAAAGUACUUUCAGCGGGGAGGAAGGGAGUAAAGUUAAUACCUUUGCUCAUUGACGUUACCCGCAGAAGAAGCACCGGCUAACUCCGUGCCAGCAGCCGCGGUAAUACGGAGGGUGCAAGCGUUAAUCGGAAUUACUGGGCGUAAAGCGCACGCAGGCGGUUUGUUAAGUCAGAUGUGAAAUCCCCGGGCUCAACCUGGGAACUGCAUCUGAUACUGGCAAGCUUGAGUCUCGUAGAGGGGGGUAGAAUUCCAGGUGUAGCGGUGAAAUGCGUAGAGAUCUGGAGGAAUACCGGUGGCGAAGGCGGCCCCCUGGACGAAGACUGACGCUCAGGUGCAAAAGCGUGGGGAGCAAACAGGAUUAGAUACCCUGGUAGUCCACGCCGUAAACGAUGUCGACUUGGAGGUUGUGCCCUUGAGGCGUGGCUUCCGGAGCUAACGCGUUAAGUCGACCGCCUGGGGAGUACGGCCGCAAGGUUAAAACUCAAAUGAAUUGACGGGGGCCCGCACAAGCGGUGGAGCAUGUGGUUUAAUUCGAUGCAACGCGAAGAACCUUACCUGGUCUUGACAUCCACGGAAGUUUUCAGAGAUGAGAAUGUGCCUUCGGGAACCGUGAGACAGGUGCUGCAUGGCUGUCGUCAGCUCGUGUUGUGAAAUGUUGGGUUAAGUCCCGCAACGAGCGCAACCCUUAUCCUUUGUUGCCAGCGGUCCGGCCGGGAACUCAAAGGAGACUGCCAGUGAUAAACUGGAGGAAGGUGGGGAUGACGUCAAGUCAUCAUGGCCCUUACGACCAGGGCUACACACGUGCUACAAUGGCGCAUACAAAGUGAAGCGACCUCGCGAGAGCAAGCGGACCUCAUAAAGUGCGUCGUAGUCCGGAUUGGAGUCUGCAACUCGACUCCAUGAAGUCGGAAUCGCUAGUAAUCGUGGAUCAGAAUGUCACGGUGAAUACGUUCCCGGGCCUUGUACACACCGCCCGUCACACCAUGGGAGUGGGUUGCAAAAGAAGUAGGUAGCUUAACCUUCGGGAGGGCGCUUACCACUUUGUGAUUCAUGACUGGGGUGAAGUCGUAACAAGGUAACCGUAGGGGAA
rnacentral:rRNA from 1 species